GUCUUCUUGAAGUUAAUUAGAAGUCUGGCCUGCCCGAUGUGAUUAUCAAUGGCCGCGGUAUUUUGACCGUGCGAAGGUAGCAUAAUGAAUAGUCUAUUAAUUGUGGUCUGGAAUGAAAGGUUUGACGGGGAACAACUUUCUUAUGCUUAAGGGUGAACUUGAAUUAUUAGUGAAAAUGCUAAUGUGAAUUAGGGGGACGAGAAGACCCUAUAGAGCUUUAUACAAUCCUCUUAUUUUUGGUAGUGUGUUGGGUAGAUUGUAUUUUGUUGGGGUGACAUUGGGUAUUAAACAUCCAGUACUGAUUUCUGUUAUUGUAGGAUAAUGUGAUCCAUUAUUAAUGACAUAAGACUAAGUUACCUUAGGGAUAACAGCGUAAUUUCAUUUUAGAGUUCUUAUCGACAAUGAAGAUUGCGACCUCGAUGUUGGAUUAGGAUACCUGUUGAGACGCAGGAGUUUUACAAGGUAGUCUGUUCGACUAUUAAAUUCCUACA
rnacentral:rRNA from 1 species